UACGGGGGGAGCAAGCGUUGUUCGGAUUUACUGGGCGUAAAGGGCGCGUAGGCGGCGCAACAAGUCACUUGUGAAAUCUCCGGGCUUAACCCGGAGCGGCCAAGUGAUACUGUCGUGCUAGAGUGCGGAAGGGGCUACUGGAAUUCUCGGUGUAGCGGUGAAAUGCGUAGAGAUCGGGAGGAACAUCAGUGGCGAAGGCGGCCAUCUGGGACAACACUGACGCUGAAGCACGAAAGCGUGGGGAGCAAACAGG
rnacentral:rRNA from 1 species